CUGGGCUACGGAGACAUGUAUCCUCAGACUUGGUCAGGCAUGCUGGUGGGGGCCCUCUGCGCUCUUGCCGGCGUGCUGACCAUUGCCAUGCCUGUCCCUGUCAUUGUGAACAAU
rfam:Gallus gallus breed Red Jungle fowl, inbred line TCD001 Contig4317.1, whole genome shotgun sequence. [11-NOV-2016]